GAAGACUCACUCGCUGUUAUUUUCAUUUUAUCACUUAUGAGCUAUUGUCUAUUAAUAAAGUGAAGCCAUUACAAAUGGUGAUGCAUUAAAAUUUUAUUAAAAGAAAAGUCUGAGUAUUUUUUUAUAAAAUAUUAUUCUGAAACUGAAAAUUCCUUCAAGCUUCAAGAAGCCCGAACACAGCUGAGCAGACUCGGACACGGGGAGGAUUCCAAGUCUUUUUGUCACAUUUCCGGAUCUCAGAGGGUGAAGGUACUACAUGAAGGAGUAUGAGGACACGGAGGAGUUUUGGAAAACAAACAGUAUUUUAAUGAAACAGUGAUGAUUUUACAGUACAAGAGGGGAAAUUUUAUCUUCAGGAGCCGACAAGGCCAAAAUAACAAACAGAAAACAACUAAUAUUCAAACCUCUAAAUUCCCUAGUUCACAAAGAGAAAAAAAAAAUAGAAAAAAAUAAUAUUAAAUACAAUUACUUUCCUAACUUCUUGUCCAAAAACAAUCAAUAAACAAGGUUCCAACAAAAAUUGCGUCGGUCUGCCUUACCUCCCCAGAAUACUAUUAUAUACAGUUAUGUACAAUGAUAAGCGAACAGAUCCAAACGGGGCAAUCCAGAAUCGUAGUCAAAGAACAGGCGGAAGUCAGUAGUACGAACAAAUGGACAAAGCAAACUAACAAACAAUAAACAAUCUCUCACCAGUGAACACUGAACU
ensembl:lncRNA